rnacentral:misc_RNA from 1 species
AUCGUGUAAUCAAGCACUACAACAAGUUGAACCAAAGGAUGCCACUGAUCUAUGUAAAACUUUACAUGUACCAGAUCUUUAGAGCAUUGUCAUAUAUCCACCGUUGUAUUGGGGUGUGCCACCGGGACAUUAAACCUCAAAAUCUUUUGGUGAACCCACAUACUCACCAGGUUAAACUAUGUGAUUUUGGGAGUGCAAAAGUCUUGGUAAAAGG